CUUCGUCGGCAGCGUCAGAUGUGUAUAAGAGACAGGAAGGGAGCUUCAACGUUUCCUUCCGUCCGCGGAGCGACUACUCCGUUCCAUGGAAAGUCUCGAUGUGUUUCAACAUCUCCCAAAAGGACAAGGUCAUCCUGGCCUUGUACAAGAGAUGGCUCCAUUGCGGGACACUGAGAGGCCGACCGGACGGGGUGUGGUACUACGAAGUGAAUAACUUCAACGCCAUCGUCGAGAACGUGAUCCCCUUUUUCAACCGUUUUCAGUUCAUGUCCGCGAAGAAGAAGCGAGACUUCGCGAAAUUCAAGCAGAUCGCCAAGAUGAUCCAGGAAGGACGGCACCAGAACAAGGAUGGGAUCCUCGAGAUCAUGAAGAUUCGGAAAGACAUGAACGACGGCGGGAAGAGAAAGUACAGCGAGGGCGAGAUCGUCGACCGCCUGUCCCAUGAAGAAUCCUCAGAGACUACACGUCAGGCUCUCCCGGACACCGAGGAGAGAUGAUAUAGUCCGUUCCCUUCAGCGAUGGAGGGCGCCCGGGAUGGCCCGGGCAGUAUCUCUUGAGCAGAUACAACGUCAAGAACGGUCCUAAGGUUAGAGACGCUAGCUUUAGUAAAAUCUGGCUGUGUGCUGGAAAACCUGUCCUCUCGAAGGGGUGAAGGGCCCGCGCUACUCCAUGGGGAGUAACAAUGCGACGGGCGCAGGCAAUCAGCAGGAAAGGCCGGGGCGAGGCCCCGGAAUCCUCAGAGACUGUACGCCAGACGCUCUACACGGAGUGAAGAUACAGUCCGAGCCCCAUGGCGACAUGGGGAGGCCGGCAGAAAUGACGGCCCGCCUGGCUGCGAGCCAGGUCUUCAAGUAACAGAACUGAGCGAAAUUCCUUGUCGGGUAAGUUCCGACCCGCACGAAAGGCGUAACGACUUGAGCGCUGUCUCAAAGAGGGGCUCGGCGAAAUUGUGGUUCCGGUGAAGACGCCGGAUACCUGCCGCUGGACGGAAAGACCCCGGCACCUUAACUGCAUCCUAGCAUUGGAUUUCGGUCCAUGAUGCGCAGGAUAGGUGGGAGACUUUGAAGCCGCGCCUCCGGGCGUGGUGGAGUCAACGGUGAGAUACCACUCUUCAUGGUCUGAGAUUCUAACCUCCGCCCCUGAUCGGGGCGAGGGACAGUGUUAGGUGGGUAGUUUGACUGGGGCGGUCGCCUCCUAAAGUGUAACGGAGGCGCCCAAAGGUUCCCUCAGGCUGUUUGGAAAUCAGCCGUAGAGUGCAAAGGCAUAAGGGAGCUUGACUGUGAGACCGACGGGUCGAACAGGUGGGAAACCAGGGCUUAGUGAUCCGGUGGUCCUGAAUGGAAGGGCCAUCGCUCAACGGAUAAAAGGUACGCCGGGGAUAACAGGCUAAUAGUGUCCAAGAGCUCACAUCGACGACACUGUUUGGCACCUCGAUGUCGGCUCAUCUCAUCCUGGGGCUGAAGCAGGUCCCAAGGGUCCGGCUGUUCGCCGGUUAAAGAGGUACGUGAGCUGGGUUUAGAACGUCGCGAGACAGUUCGGUCCCUAUCCACGGUAGGCGCAGGAGAUUUGAGGGGGGCUGUCCAUAGUACGAAAGGACCUGGAUGGACGAACCUCUAGUGUACCGGUUGUGCCGCCAGGCGCAGCGCCGGGUAGCUACGUUCGGUUGUGAUAACCGCUGAAAGCAUAUAAGCGGGAAGCACGCCCCGAGAUAAGAUCUCCCUCCCGCAAGGGCUAAAGGUCCCUCGCAGACUACGAGGUUGAUAGGCUGGAGGUGUAAGCGCAGUGAUGCGUUCAGCUGACCAGUACUAAUAGACCGUGAGGCUUGACCAU
rnacentral:rRNA from 1 species